GUGAAGAACAGUGAUACACAACCUAGUUGUGCUUUAACUUUGUUUUUCAGUUAUUUUUAUUAUUAAAUUGCUACUAUUUUCUAUUGAAUUUAUCUACUUAAAAAAAAAGAUAAAAACACUAUGAAUCGACCGAAUUUGUAUGUCAGCGAUGCUGAAGAAAUCGUUAUUUCUGGUAUUGCUGGCCGAUUUCCUAACACCAACAAUCUUAAAGAGCUUCAAGAAAAUCUUUUUAACAAAAUGGAUCUUGGUUUAAUGGAUCACGGACGAUGGAAUAAUUGAAGUUUAGGAAAUCUAAAGAAACAAUACUUUUCUUGUGCGGAAUUGUUACAAUUACGUAUGCAAUAUAUUUGUAUCAUUUUAAUAGUUAAACCAGUAGCUAAUUUAUAUUUAUCGAUAAUAAUGGUAUCACAGAUCAAAUCAAUUUUUUAUAUCAAUUAUGCACAGUUCAGUCACUUUGUAUUAUGGGUAACAGUGUGUGUGCGUGCUCGCGUGCGUGCGUGCGUACCCAAUUUUCGGUUUCAGUUUCGGUUUCAGUUCUUUUGCCGAUAUCGGUGACCGUAACUGUUUAAAUUUCGGUCUUUUAUGGUUACGGUUACGGGUAUACAUAUAAUUACUUAUUGUAAAAUUUAUAAAAGAU